UACGUAGGGGGCAAGCGUUGUCCGGAAUCAUUGGGCGUAAAGAGCGUGUAGGCGGCCAGAUAAGUCCGCUGUGAAAACUCGAGGCUCAACUUCGAGCUGUCGGUGGAAACUAUUUGGCUAGAGUCCGGAAGAGGAGAGUGGAAUUCCUGGUGUAGCGGUGAAAUGCGCAGAUAUCAGGAAGAACACCCGUGGCGAAGGCGGCUCUCUGGGACGGUACUGACGCUGAGACGCGAAAGCGUGGGGGAGCGAACAGG
rnacentral:rRNA from 1 species